AUUGAACGCUGGCGGCAUGCUUUACACAUGCAAGUCGAACGGUAACAGGCCGCAAGGUGCUGACGAGUGGCGAACGGGUGAGUAAUGCAUCGGAACGUGCCCAGUCGUGGGGGAUAACGCAGCGAAAGCUGCGCUAAUACCGCAUACGAUCUAUGGAUGAAAGCGGGGGACCGUAAGGCCUCGCGCGAUUGGAGCGGACGAUGUCAGAUUAGGUAGUUGGUGGGGUAAAGGCUCACCAAGCCAACGAUCUGUAGCUGGUCUGAGAGGACGACCAGCCCCACUGGGACUGAGACACGGACCAGACUCGUACGGGAGGCAGCAGUGGGGAAUUUUGGACAAUGGGCGCAAGCCUGAUCCAGCAAUGCCGCGUGCAGGAAGAAGGCCUUCGGGUUGUAAACUGCUUUUGUACGGAACGAAACGGUCUGGGUUAAUACCUCGGGCUAAUGACGGUACCGUAAGAAUAAGCACCGGCUAACUACGUGCCAGCCGCCGCGGUAAAAC
rnacentral:rRNA from 1 species